UCACUGGUGUUCGGGUUGUCAUGCCAAUGGCACUGCCCGGUAGCUAAAUGCGGAAGAGAUAAGUGCUGAAAGCAUCUAAGCACGAAACUUGCCCCGAGAUGAGUUCUCCCUGAGACUUUAAGUCUCCUGAAGGAACGUUGAAGACGACGACGUUGAUAGGUCGGGUGUGUAAGCGCAGCGAUGCGUUGAGCUAACCGAUACUAAUGAACCGUGAGGCUUAACCUUACAACGCCGAAGGUGUUU
rnacentral:rRNA from 1 species